UUAUAUUUAAAGAGCCCUAGAGGCAUCUCACUACAGGAAAAGGAUUUCUCUCAUGUCCAGGUCUAGUCUGUUCCAGAGAACAGCCUCUGAAAAGUAGUGGGAGCUGCUUUUCAGCCAACAGUCAUGGGUCUUGUGCUCUUUUUGUGGGUCUCUUUGAUAUCUUUCCUGUUGGAGAGUAGUCUUGAGUUUACACUUGUUGAAGAUGGACAUUACCGGCCCACCUAUGCAUCUCAGAACCUUCAUGAUAUUGAUGAUGAUACCCUUUUCUCUGAUCUGUCCUUUGAUGAAGGAGAAGGGGAGGACUUGGGUAACUCACCAAGUAGCCCUGUCGACACAGCCU